GACGAACGCUGGCGGCGUGCCUAAUACAUGCAAGUCGAACGCACAGUUUAUACCGUAGCUUGCUACACCAUAGAUUGUGAGUUGCGAACGGGUGAGUAACGCGUAGGCAACCUGCCUGGUAGCGGGGGAUAACUAUUGGAAACGAUAGCUAAUACCGCAUAAUAUUAAUUAUUGCAUGAUAAUUAAUUGAAAGGUGCAAUUGCACCACUACCAGAUGGACCUGCGUUGUAUUAGCUAGUAGGUGAGGUAACGGCUCACCUAGGCGACGAUACAUAGCCGACCUGAGAGGGGGAUCGGCCACACUGGGACUGAGACACGGCCCAGACUCCUACGGGAGGCAGCAGUAGGGAAUCUUCGGCAAUGGACGAAAGUCUGACCGAGCAACGCCGCGUGAGUGAAGAAGGUUUUCGGAUCGUAAAGCUCUGUUGUAAGAGAAGAACGGGUGUGAGAGUGGAAAGUUCACACUGUGACGGUAUCUUACCAGAAAGGGACGGCUAACUACGUG
rnacentral:rRNA from 1 species